GCCCUUAGGUCUGUCAGCCGCUUUGGAUAACGAAACAGAAUCAUGUAAUUUACUAAAAUAAAGUUUUAAGUACGUAUUAAUAAUGAUAAUAUGUAUAAAAGUCUUGACCAAUUACGUGCCAGCAGUCGCGGUAAUACGUAGGAGACGAGCAUUAUUCAUAUUAAAUAGGUUUAAAGGGUACCCAAACGGUCCAAAUACCUGAAAUAUAGGAGUACUUGACUAGACAAUAUAUGUAAGAAGACCGUACUUGAGGUGGAGAGAUUAUAUUUUAUGAUACCAAAAGGACUGAUAACGGCGAACUCUGUCUUUUAUGUAAUAACUGACGAAGAAGGACGAAGGCAUAGAUAACUAACAGGAUUCGUUACCCUAGUAGUCUUUGCAGACAAUGAUGAAUGCCAUUAACUAGAUACUAAUUUUAGUUAUAUAAAUGAAAAUGAAAGCAUUUCACCUCAAGAGUAAUGUUAGGCAACGCAGGAACUGAAAUCACUAGACCGUUUCUGACACCAGUAGUGAAGUAUGUUAUUUAAUUCAUGGAUGAACAAAAAGA
rnacentral:rRNA from 1 species